GAUGAACGCUGGCGGCGUGCCUAAUACAUGCAAGUCGAGCGAACGGACGAGAAGCUUGCUUCUCUGAUGUUAGCGGCGGACGGGUGAGUAACACGUGGAUAACCUACCUAUAAGACUGGGAUAACUUCGGGAAACCGGAGCUAAUACCGGAUAAUAUUUUGAACCGCAUGGUUCAAAAGUGAAAGACGGUCUUGCUGUCACUUAUAGAUGGAUCCGCGCUUCAUUAGCUAGUUGGUAAGGUAACGGCUUACCAAGGCAACGAUGCAUAGCCGACCUGAGAGGGUGAUCGGCCACACUGGGACUGAGACACGGUCCAUACUCCUACGGGAGGCAGCAGUAGGGAAUCUUCCGCAAUGGGCGAAAGCCUGACGGAGCAACGCCGCGUGAGUGAUGAUGGUCUUCGGAUCGUAAAACUCUGUUAUUAGGGAAGAACAUAUGUGUAAGUAACUGUGCACAUCUUGACGGUACCUAAUCAGAAAGCCACGGCUAACUACGUG
rnacentral:rRNA from 1 species